GAUGAACGCUGGCGGCGUGCCUAAUACAUGCAAGUCGAACGCAUUGUGGUUGAAAUGAUAUGAAGAACUUGUUCAGAUUUGAUUUUCAACAUUGCAAUGAGUGGCGAACGGGUGAGUAACACGUGGGAAACCUACCUCUUAGCAGGGGAUAACAUUUGGAAACAAAUGCUAAUACCGUAUAAUAAUUAAAACCGCAUGGUUUUAGUUUAAAAGAUGGUCUUGCUAUCACUAAGAGAUGGUCCCGCGGUGUAUUAGUUAGUUGGUGAGGUAAUGGCUCACCAAGACAAUGAUACAUAGCCGAGUUGAGAGACUGACCGGCACAAUGGGACUGAGACACGGCCCAUACUCCUACGGGA
rnacentral:rRNA from 1 species